UUAAAUUUCUUAAAAAUCAAGCUGGUUCUUUUCAUAAGUGUGGGAUUAUCAACCAAUGCUCUUUCCAGUUAAUUCGGAAAUAAUCAAAGCAAAACCAUUCACUCAAAGUAGAGACCCCGAGGGUAUCAGCUUGUUUACAGAGCUUGAGUUGUAUUAUAUUUGCUUAACCAGCUGUUCUAGUUGUAGGAAAGACCAAUAAUCGAGCAUGUUUCUAGAUAAUGUAAAAGCCUGCAACGGUGAAGGCCCUAUAAAGUAUAUAAAUAAUUAAUUGAAAUAAUUUUGAAAUCAUUUUCGUUCGCCUCUCUGUAUAUACGCGAACUAGUUUUGAAUUUGAAAUUUUGCUCUCGUCCUUUUCUUCCUAAGAAACUGUUUAUUUGUCGGAACCACCGUCAUCGGACCACUGUAGCUUUAUUAAUACUUCUUUCCUAAUGAUCAAUAUUUAGAGUUCUCCAUGGAGGCCGAUUUCUGUUCUGAAAAAGAAAUAGUUCUCCGUUUAAAAUCGAAUAAGGGUCGCUAGUGAUAGACGAUAACAUGAUUUCUAUAUGCCUCUUCAUUUAAGUUAACAUGAAUCUGUCUUAGUUUCUUCGUAGGUAAACUUCCUUCAACAGUAUUCCUUCGGACUACUAAACUAAUGAAGUCUCUUAUGUGCACUCCACGGACUUUUAAUUGCCAAGACUUCAACUGAAACGAUACUCCCUAUACGUUUUCAAAAUUACUACUUUAGAAAAGCUGUUACACCUGUUGACAAGCUUGUUGAACAUGAACUCUUAUUCGCUAUGCGCACCAACAUAAACUGAAAGCAAAGCAGGCAUCGCUCACUUUCGCCUGCUGUUGCUGACGAGAGAAAAGAGAGGUGAGGAAGAGAGAGAGAGUUGAAGGAGUGUGACCACGCUUGCUUAACGACACCUCAAUACCACACACUAGUUAUUUGCUCUGUCUUUAAGUUUUCGAAUUUUAUUCAAUCACUGCUCAGCGCCAGCCUCUUUCUCGCAAAUAAUAGAAUUAUUCUUAGAAAUCA